AUAUGUAUGACGAGUCUCAAAUAAGAUGAAACGCGCGUCCAGGAU
rnacentral:hammerhead_ribozyme from 1 species